rnacentral:rRNA from 1 species
UACGUAGGGCGCAAGCGUUGUCCGGAAUUAUUGGGCGUAAAGAGCUCGUAGGUGGUUUGUUACGUCUGCUGUGAAAACCUAGGGCUUAACCCUGGGCCUGCAGUGGAUACGGGCAGACUAGAGGUAGGUAGGGGAGAAUGGAAUUCCCGGUGUAGCGGUGAAAUGCGCAGAUAUCGGGAGGAACACCGGUGGCGAAGGCGGUUCUCUGGGCCUUACCUGACACUGAGGAGCGAAAGCGUGGGAGCGAACAGG